CUAGGUUUUUGUUUAUAGGGAUUUGUGUUAAAUUUAUGUUUUCAGUUGCUGCUUUCUCCUGUGUGGACUUACAAAUAAAGUGCCUGGAUUAUAUGAAAAUAAAAGGACUGUGCCUGUUGUUUACCCUAGAGGACCAUGCUAUCUGCAAACAAGGAUCACAAUAUGGUGGAGGAUGCGGGCAUUGUAGCACAUUGAGGGUCCGCGCUGUCAGGGGGGGGUCUGUCACCAUCCGCACGCAUCCUUCACCCAGCCAUCCUCAUCCGUAGCGGAACGGUGCCUGUAUCCACCAGCGGGGUCAUAGCGAGCCAGGGGGACCAACAUGCCCGACGUUUCCGCUCCAAAACCCAUGGCAGCGGCCGAGGCCAGGGGUAACGGCGCCGGCAAGAGGAAGUGAGUUUGAAUGGUUCUGGCAAACUGGUAAAGAUAACUGGUUGUGCAAACCCAGGGAAAACUGUUACUAUUGUCGUUCGUGGAUCCAACAAAUUGGUUAUCGAAGAAGCUGAGAGAUCCAUCCAUGAUACACUUUGUGUGAUACGCUGCUUGGUAAAGAAAAGAGCGUUAAUUGCUGGAGGAGGAGCCCCUGAGAUUGAACUAGCCUUGCGUUUGAACGAAUAUUCUCGUACACUAAGUGGCAUGGAGGCCUACUGCAUCCAGGCCUUUGCAGAUGCCAUGGAAGUUAUUCCAUCAACGUUGGCUGAAAAUUCAGGCCUUAACCCAAUAUCAACUGUAACAGAACUGCGGAACAGGCAUGUGCAGGGGGAGAAAACUGCUGGUAUUAACAUCAGAAAGGGUGGAAUUUCUAACAUUAUGGAUAAGCUUGUUCUUCAGCCCCUGUUGGUGUCUAUCAGCAGCCUGACCUUGACUUGCAGAAAGUCCCAGUAAGGAAGUAUUUCCCCAGUAAGUGGAUUAAUCUCAUAAGAGCAAGCAGAGGAUACUCCUGGGGAGGAAACCAGGCAAAGGAAAGAUGAGCUAAGCUGGGAGUCUGG